rnacentral:rRNA from 1 species
UAGGGAAUAUUGCAAAUGGGCGAAAGCCUGAUGUAGCAACGCCGCGUGUGCGAUGAAGGUCUUCGGAUUGUAAAGCACUUUUUGGAGGGAUGAGGAAGGACAGUACCUCCAGAAUAAGCCUCGGCCAACUACGUGCCAGCAGCCGCGGUAACACGUAGGGGGCAAGCGUUAUUCGGAUUUACUGGGCGUAAAGCGCGUGCAGGCGGUUUGGAAAGUUGGAUGUGAAAGCUCCUGGCUCAACUGGGAGAGGUCGUUCAAAACUUCCAGACUUGAGAGCGGUAGAGGGAGGUGGAAUUCCGGGUGUAGUGGUGAAAUGCGUAGAUAUCCGGAGGAACACCAGUGGCGAAAGCGGCCUCCUGGACCACUUCUGACGCUCAGACGCGAAAGCUAGGGUAGCAAACGG